rnacentral:tRNA from 1 species
GGGUCCGUAGCUCAAUGGCAGAGCAAGCGCCUCUUAAGCGUUAGGUUCUCGGUUCGACCCCGAGCGGACUCACAA